rnacentral:lncRNA from 1 species
AUAUAUAUAUAUAUUAGUGUAGAACUAUUAUGCUAUCGGAAGCAUAAAGCAUUUGAUACUUCGAUAUUUCGAUCCUUGGAUUAAGAAUUAUACGAUUGGGAUGAUUGCGAUCCCCCCAUGGUUUAGUAGUACCCCUAGAAUUGAGUAGUGCCCACAGGGUAAUAGUAUUAAUCCAAAGGUUAAAAAUAAUUAAAGGAGCUGAUCUAACGGCCAAAAAAUCGGAAGCAUCAGAUUCUCUAUACUUCCGAUAGCAUAGUAGCUCUACUCUAUAUUAUAUGUUAAAGAUGGUAUUUUAUUUUUAAUAUAAAUAUAUUUAUUAUAUAAUAUUUUAUUUAUAAAUAUUUAAUAAUUUAUUUUAUAGUAUUAUAUAUUAUAUUAUAUAUUUAAUUAUUGUAUAAUAUAUUUUAAAUAUGUUUUAUUUAUAAAUAUAAACUAUAAUACUAAUAUAUAUGUAAUAUGAUAAUAAUUAUAUUAAAAUAUAUAAAAUAAAAAAAUAUUUAAUAAUUUUUAUUUAUAAUUUUUUUUUUCUUUCAAUCAAACAAUCGUAAUAAAAAAUUAUUUCUCUUUUCCUACAAACCAAACAUCAAACAACGUAAAGCUAUUUUUCCACCAAAUUUUUUUUUUCCUCAGUUUUACGUGGAACUAAACACACCCUUAGCUCUGAUGUCGCCGAAGGAGGGACUUGGGCCGAAGGGUUUAGUUUCAGUAAAGAUGUAAUUAAGGUUUAUUUUAUAUAAAUAUUAAAACAGAGUAUUCUUUAAAAGG